UUCCGGUUGAUCCUGCCGGACCCGACUGCUAUCAGAGUGGGACUAAGCCAUGCGAGUCAACGCCGUAAGGCGUGGCAUACGGCUCAGUAACACGUAGUCAACAUGCCCAAAGGAUGUGGAUAACCUCGGGAAACUGAGGAUAAACCGCGAUAGGCCAAGGUUUCUGGAAUGAGCCAUGGCCGAAAUCUAUAUGGCCUUUGGAUUGGACUGCGGCCGAUCAGGCUGUUGGUGAGGUAAUGGCCCACCAAACCUGUAACCGGUACGGGCUUUGAGAGAAGGAGCCCGGAGAUGGGCACUGAGACAAGGGCCCAGGCCCUAUGGGGCGCA
rnacentral:rRNA from 1 species